GGAGAAUUAUCUCAGUUGGUAUAGCGCUCGCUUUGCAUGCGAGAGGUACCGGGAUCGAUACCCAUAUUCUCCA
rfam:Octopus bimaculoides Scaffold265999_contig_1, whole genome shotgun sequence.